CUACUUUAUAUCUUUAACCAUUCUUUACUUGUAGCCGUUCUUUAUUAGCUAUUUACGUUCAUUAGCUAUCUUUAUUCUUAUUCUUUAUCAUAUUGUGCUCACUGGCGAUUCUUUCCUAAGGUUACUUUACCUUAGUCAUCUAGCCACCCGACUCGGUCUUGAGUCAAUCAAUCGCGGAUAGUCCGCGCACUGUCUAGCUCGAGGUGAAGGAACUCUCACAUGCACCUCAGCUGGCAACAGCUCACCGUACUCCUGUCCUAGCCGUCUGGUGGCGAACAAUCGCACCUCACCCAACAACGGCCUAGGUAAAUGACUUAGCCACCCGGCGGCGAAAUCGUCGCACAACGCCACGACAGUGGUUCAGUCAACAGGCGGUAGGAUCCAUAAACUGGCUAACCAUCCGGCGGCGAAAUCGUCGCACACGCCACGACAAUGGUUCUUUAGCCCUUGGGCGGCGAAAUCGUCGCACACACCCGACACCCCUUUGGGUGCAUCAACAAGCUUUGAGAUUCCAGAAUCCAUUUCACAUUACUCGAGGGUUAGUUUUAUCCCUAUGGAAUCGACCUAUCUAGGUCCAAGUCUUUACUCGACCUAAUUUAACACUUUAGGUUCGAUUCUUUUAUAUUCUUAGCCCAGGUUUAUUAUCCCUAGAACCAUCAUUCUUUCCAACCUAGGUUCACUUGACUCUAUGUUAAGCACUUUUCAUUUCACAACCUAUGUUCUUUACAUUAGGUUUAACAUCAUUCUUAUUUAACCUAUGUUUAAUAACACUAGGUUCAUUUCAUAUUCAACCUAUGUUUAAUAACAUUAGGUUCAUUUCAUAUUCAACCUAUGUUUAAUAACAUUAGGUUCAUGCCACUCGAUCUAUACAAUGUCCAACCUAGGUUCAAUAACUUAGGUUCACGCCACUCGAUAUAUAUAUGUCUUCCUAGAUAUUCUUUUCUAGGUCCACAGUUUACAUAUUCAUAAAUUCUCAUUUAUCUUGUUACCAUCGAGGUUUCUAAUCAACUAGAAGCAUCGAUAUUCAUACAACCUGAACUAUAGUACAUUCAUUUUCAUAUAUGUUUAGACAUAGGCAUCGAACAUUCACUUUCAUAAACAUUUAACACGAACUUUCUUUAAUACUAACUUUCACGUAUCAACAAUUAUCUAUGCUCUAGCAUUUAUGUUCGCAUUUCGACAAUUAUAUUCAUAUGCAUCUAGCAUUCAUGUUCAUAUAAUAAGCAUUAUAAAUCAUCUAGCAUCAACCAUCUUAUGUCAACAAUCAUAUAUGCGUACUCAUAUGCGUCUAGCAUUUAUGUUCGCAUUUCGACAAUCAUAUUCAUAUAUGCGUCAAGGAAACCAUAUUUUUCUUUGGCAUGGAAGUGACCUAAUCACUUCGGUAAACACAACCCACCUUUAUUUGAUACCUGGAUGUGAGAAAUCCACUUUCCACACUUUCCCGAGAAUUGCGAUUCCGCGCUCGCGACAAUUGUAGCCGAAAAUGUCCUUUUGGCGCUAUCUUUGCGUAGGAUCGACGGAUUGCCGAACCGACUUCGCCAACGAGUUUCUUUUACCCUCAAUUAGGUUUGUACGCGGUCAAUUUCAAGUUAGGACUUUAAUCCUGCAAAAGCGCAUUAUCGAGCUUAGGUUUCCAUUUAACCGUUUCUAUGUAAACCUUAGCUUUUCUCUAGGUUUCCAUGGCAAUUUCAGCCAUUAGAAACCUAUAAUCCCUUGCCUUAACUCAUUUUCCUCUUGUCAGGUUCACAUACAGGACAUCCAUAGGCCUACUUUCUUGGACUAACAACAAAACAGCUUUAUGGAUUCAUGCUGCCAGCAUAGGUGGGAAUUCAGCUUUAAUAAACUGAAUUCAGCUUACUCACACACAUGUGGAGAUUCAAUCUUAACACCCCACAACCUACCAUUAGGGAAUUGAAGAACUUGACAUCAAUCCCUACUUAAAACCUGCAUAAGAGCUGGUUUUAGUCCUGUCAUCUUCACACUUCUACGCACUUCACCUUUAACCCAACUCACAUAUGCUGCUAGCAUGCAUCACUAAGCUUCCCCACAAUUUCCUCAUGACAUUAGAGGUUCUAACAACCUAGAAACCAUACUAAAUCAGAUAUAGGGUCAAUAUCAUCACCUCUAAUAAGGAGAUAGCAAUUAUUUACCUCAGAUUUUGAAGCUCCAACUCAAAACUCGCUCUCCGCGGAGCUUUCUUCCCCGCUGCUGCAGUUUUUCGCAGCAUAACAUCACUCCAUCACUUCUCCAUUAACCCUCUGCAUGUGGCUUAAAGAGAGAAGAAAGAAGAAGAGAGAAUAAACGUGGUGGAGGAGAAGAAAAAGAGGACGAAAGAGAAGGAAGGAAAAUUCUUCUCUGCUCUGAUCUUCCUCACAGCCAACACAAACUCCACCUUUCUUUUCUCCAAAUCCUUUCAAGAGUCCCCCCCACAGCCCUCUUGUAUGGUUUAGAGAGAGAAGGAAAAGAGAGGAAAAAAAUAAAGAGAAAAGAGAGAGAGAAGACCCUACACGUAUCUAUCAGCUGGGGUGAAGAGAUAAGUUCAACAAACUGCUGCUUACUCCCUCAAAAUUGUGAAACUGCAUUGCAGUCCAGCAGUUCUCAAUUCAGUCCCUGCAGAUUCACAAUUCAGUCCCUGCAGGUUCGCAGUUCAGUCCCUGCACUAAACCUCAGCCUGGCAGCAGCAAAUUUAGAUCUUUUUGCGCGUCUAGUUCGCUUCGAACCCUUCUAAUCACUUCCAAAUUAUACUAAUACACCUCUACAAGCUGCCAAUUUAAUUUGGAAGCAAUUAAUUUUUAUUUUAGCAUCAUCUUGACCAAUGUGAGUACGAUCAACAACAUAAUCAAGCUCCAACAACCUUAUAUGGCAGCAGCUUCUCUCGAAGCUUGUUUCACGCGGCCACUUCAUCCCAAAUUCCUCUAAACACUUCCAAUACAUGCCAAAUAACAUCCCAAAGCUACUAAUUUAGUUCGGAGGCAAUUCAUUUUCAUUUUGGCAUCAUUGUAACCAACGAGAGCAAGAUUUACAACACAAUCAAGCUCCAAUACUUUGCAUAGCAGCAGCACAAUUGGAGGCCCUUUUUCACUUCCACUUCACUCCGAAUCUCUCCAAAUACUUCCCAACUCAUGGUUAAUGAUUCCCAAACCUCCAAUUUAAUUUGGGAAUACCACACUUUACAUUCAUUCCUUAUUUUGCUCACUUUGCUCAACAUGAGUCUUAUAAUCCGACAAUUUCCUUUUACAUUUUGUUUCGCGUCCAACUUGCGCCGAAACACUCAUUUAUCACCGGAAUUCAUUCCCACGCAUCCAAAAUCACUCAAGGAUGAUGUCCAACUAGCUCAAGCCUUACUUUAAUCCCCUAGAGCAAAGUUGACAUCGCAACUCCAAGAUACCAUAUAUUACAACUUCCCCCCGUUAACAAAAGUUUCGUCCGCGAAACUUAGAUAUAUAUUACUCCUCAUUGCUUAACGGAUGGAGAUAAAUUCCAACACCAUUCCAAAGUUUCUCGACUUCCCCCAUGCUAUAUUGAUUUCUCCUAAUCAGUCUCUAUGAACUCUUCGUUCAUGUCUCCAAUAUCAACUCGUCAUCAGCGAUUAACUUAGCAACUCUCACUUCUAGUGCACCCGGUUAAACCAUCCGUCUCAAUUACCGCAGUUCGGUUCAUAAUUUACUGAUUCGGUGUAGGCCUACUGCCUAACUCAACUACGAUAUCACCCGAUGUCUCUUGGUCGCAAGCGUGGACCCAAUCACUAUGAAGUGAAGUCCUCAUUUAAGACCUCACACAACUACUCUAACUAGGAGCCAUUCAACUCUCUAAACCACUACACAUCUUAGUGUUAUGUCAAUCUACGCUUCCAGCGUAUUACUAAUCACAUGAUCCACUACAUGGCCUACCACGUUAUCGAUUCCUGCUCGGACUACCGUCCUGAUCAAACCUCUGCCCUAACCACACAGGUGUCGGGCCGCUGUCACACACAGCUACUACGUCUGCCCAAAGGGCUCCAGGCUUUGCAAUUCACAAGUGGUCCAGGCACGGAUUGUCCACAAGCAACACUCGCAACCGUCGUCUCACACGACACGCUCUACCGAGCACACGUACCACUAUCAGCUCCUAAGCACCUAGUGCGAGCUACCAGCCCUACGAGUGAUCCUUGGCACGCUUCACACUUAGCAACGCUCCAGUGCUACUGCCAACACACUUACGGUUGAAUCAACUCCGCACAGUACGAGCAUCUAUGCUCGAGCGCUCCAUACAACUCUAUCGCGCGUCAUACUAAGUCCAGCAUUAGGCAACUCUUGCCUAUGCAUAUCGACUACACGAGCACGACCUACUUACCUCAAUUCGAGGUAUUGCUAGGUCCAAGUGCACGUACCAGACGCAACAGUGAUUCCAUUUUCACUGUCCGAUCUACCGGAACAACCUCUAAAAUGCUCGGUCUCACAAGAGUUUCACGAACAUCGCGACUUGACUCUCGCAAUCAGCAACUCGCAUUAGUUUGAGAGUUGGUCAGCCACUACCAUUAUUACCACACUAGCACCAGCGCUUUGCUAGUGCCUUCAAAUUCUCUACCUGCUUCAACAGGUACUACACUUCCACUCACAAACAAACACAAGCAGGUACGAAGUAAUGCAUGUUAUGCACUAAAUGUACAUGAUGCAGAAAGUAUGAUUGCUUUAAUUAACUCAUACCUGUCACAGCGCCAACAGUCGCAGCAGGUUCCUCCACAUGGAACGCCUAUCCACGGCCACUUGUCGUUCGCCNAGUUUUGAGAGUUGGUCAGCUACUACCACUAUUCCCACACUGUCACCAGCGCUUUGCUAGUGCCUUCAAAUUCUCUACCUACUUCAACAGGUACUACACUUCCACCCACAAACAAACACAAGCAGGUACGAAGUAAUGCAUGUUAUGCACUAAAUGUACAUAAUGCAGAAAGUAUGAUUGCUUUAAUUAAUUCAUACCUGUCACAGUGCCAACUGUCGCAGCAGGUUCCUCCACAUGGAACGCCUAUCCACGGCCACUUGCCGUUCGCCGCGAACCCCUGGAUUGCCUUAUCCUCAUUCGCUCUCCAGACCAUGCCGGAGGUAGCACACCUGCAAGCUGUCCCGGAGAGGAAAAUGCCGUCGUUAGCGUCCGGCUCGACUAUCACCCUGUGGACACUCAUCCCGCGCAUGACCUAGCUGUCCACAUCUGAAGCACUUGCCUUCUCGCUGCUCACACUGCUGUGGGUAGUGAGGACCCCCACAAACAACACAUCGUGCUGAGGAUCGAAUGCUAUAUGUUCCCGGAGCUCGAGAUCGCGAGCGCGAAUACUUUGAGGUUUGCUGAGAACUUGACUGACCAUCGUCCCCACUUGCUGGCCGUCCUUUCCCUUUUUCCUUGUAAUAAGACUCGCGCUCCUCCCGCACAGAUGCAUUGCCUUGUUCUAUCCACAAGGCCCGAUCCAAAACUUCAGCAAAGGUUUGCAACUUCAGAUUAUGCACUGCCUUAAAAAUAUCAGGCUGAAGUCCUCGUACAAAACAAUCAGCUCGAUCCUUGUCAUCUUGUACCACACCUGGAACCCAAUUCACGAGACGGGAAAAUUCCCGCUCGUAUUCUCUUACAGAGCGAUCUCCCUGCCGCAAAUUCUGAAACCUGUCCCGAAGCUUCCUCUUUUCACUAUCGGGGAAAUAAACUGAAGUUAUUACUUCCCGAAACUCUUGCCAAGUCAUAGGAGGAAGACUAGGCGAUCGAUUCUGCUUGAUGCCUUUCCACCACGUCUUCACUGAUCGUUGCAGACAAUGCACGGCUAGGCGCACCUUGUCCCGCUCCACUGUGUACAAGUCCUCGAAAAUAGACUCUAUGGAGUCAAUCCACGACUCCACAGUCCAUGGAUCUGUGUCCUCCCCAUCAAAAGUAGGCGGAUCAAACUUCUUGAACGACAUGAGGGCCGCCAAAGCUCGCUCUCUUUCUGCUUCCACCUCUGAACUAACAGCAGUCGGAUCACCCGACUCCGACGGAAAUGCCUCUGCCGCAACUCCCGGCUGUACAUGACGAACCGAAACGGGUGUGGUCACCAACUGAUCCACCGUCUCCUGCAGUCUCUUUAUCUGCUCUUCCUGACGCAGAGCAGCCUCCUGCUGACGCUGCACCACAUCCGUUUGUUGCCUGACCACUCCUACGAGUGUGGCCAACUGAUCGCGAAGCUCCAAGUCUCCGCUCGCCUCGUUCUGCUCAGGGACACCACUUGUCCCCUCCCGCGCCGAUCUAGCCGAAGAUCGCCUACGCGGUGCCAUCGUUUCCUGAAACACGACACGACAACUCGGUCAGUCCUCAACCCUCUGGGCCGAAUACGAAACAAUUAAUAGCGACUCUAAUCGGGCGAAAGUCACGCAAGGCCGUUUAUUCUCAUCACUCGGUUUCAUGUUGUCGCGCGCCAACAUGAACAUCCUUGGUUGAGAAUAAACCACACCUCGAGUCUACCUCUAAUCUCCUUUUUAGAGGUUUACCAAACUUGACCCAAUCGAUUUACCUUUCGCCACACGUCACAAGUCCUCGUCUCUCACGAGCAUAAGUCCUUACGGUUUACUAUCCUAGGUCUCCUAGGUCCAUCUAAACCGUUUCUAUUAUUCUCUUUUAUGCUCUUUUAUGCUCUGAUACCAUUUAAUCUGUCACGCCCCGAGCUCCGCCUAUUUGGUCGGAUUCGGGCACGCCGACAGACCGCCGAACGGACAGAGCCUCCCCUGUACGUUCUAGGCGUCAACAAUCUAAACAAUGCAAUACAAGAGGUUCCAUGCAGGAACUAUAGCAAGUAUGUAGAUUGCAUAAGUAUCAAAAACAUAAAAUGCUAACUAUGCUAUUACAAGCAUUCAACUCACAGAUUCUUUAGACAUUUACAAUAGUUUACAUUUACAUAACCAAAUGUGCCUUUAAGUUAUUACAAAACUUAUACAAAUUACUACAAAUUUGUUUCUUUCCAAUUGGAACUCUGAGCUGGACCUCUUCAGGGUACUUCUAUCACUGGUCUCGGUGGUAGGGCGCUAUCUACGGAGCUACGCCCUGUCCUCGCGCCGCUGCGCCGCUCACGUGUAACCUGUACCCCCAAAACAACACGGGGGUGAGAACUAUAUAAAUAUAGUUCCCAGUGGGUACGGCCACCCAAGGGAAGAGCUCGACCCACCAGGUCCAAAGGAGGCAACAGUAGGUUAGUUCAACAAAUAGAUAGAUAGAUAUUUGACUAAGCAAUAAAUAAAACCAUACCUUGCCUCGCUGCUAUGCAAUAUGCAAAACCUGUCAAUCAUGUAAGUAGAUUACUUGAUUCUACUUUAUAUCUUUAACCAUUCUUUACUUAUAGCCGUUCUUUUAUUUCUUAGCUAUUCUCGUUCAUUAGCUAAUUUCAUUAUCGUUCAUGUUUUGCUCUUUAUUCUUUGUACUUGUACUUGGUGUUCUACACCUUAAACUUGGGCCCACUAUAUUCAUUGGCAAAUUCUUUCUUAAGGUUGCUCUUACCUUAAUCUCACUAUGCCACCCGACUCGGUCUUGAGUCAAUCAAUCGCGGAUAGUCCGCGCACUGUCUAGCUCGAGGUGAAGGAACUCUCACAUGCACCUCAGCUGGCGACAGCUCACCGUACUCCUGUCCUAGCUGUCUGGCGGCGAACGAGUCGCACCUCACCCAACAACAGCCUAGGUCAAUGACUUAGCCACCCGGCGGCGAAAUCGUCGCACACGCCACGACAGUGGUUCAGUCAACAGGCGGUAGGAUCCACAAGCUGGCUUAACCAUCUGGCGGCGAAAUCGUCGCACACGCCGAACAAUGGUUCAAGCCUCCGGGUGGUGGACACUGCGCACACACCCAAUCCUGCCUUGGUAUCAAUCUCGGCGGCGAAAUCGUCGCACACGCCCUAGCCUUGAUACCAAGGUUAUAAUAGAUCUUGGGAUUCCGGAAUCCAUUUCCACAACUUGAGGGUUUACUCACUUUACCCUAUGUUGACGACCCUCCUAGGUCGAUACCAAUCCUUUCCUAGUGGUCACUAUACCACUAAUAUUCACAACUUAGUUCAAAUGUACUAAGUCUUACUAUAUAUCAUAACCUAGGUUCAUUUGCUAGGUUUUAUAUCAUUUUCACCUAGAACUCGACUCUAGGUUUAAUUACUUGACCUAUGUCCAAUGACACUGGGUUAAUGUCCGACCUCUGUUUCAAGAACACUAGGUUCAUGCCACUCGAUCUAUUACAAGUUGCACAUUUUCAUUUACUUUGUUACCGUCCAGAUUUCUACUCAAUUGGAGGUGUCGAUUUAUACCCAAUUCUUAGGGAUUUCACAUGAAGUUCAUAGUUUACAUACCAUAAAUUCACAUUUCACAUUCAACUUAUUUGCCCUUGGCAUCUAUGUAGGCUUUAGCAUAUAGCGACAUUCAUAUAGUAUGUAGGCUUUAGCAUAUAUUUUCACAUUUUAUAUUCAACUUAUUCGAUCAUAUGAAUUGCACAUCACUAUGCAUCAAACUUUCACGUUCAUAUAUCGACAAGUAUGUGUAUUUAACACGAUUAUAUGUAUUGACAAUUAUAUGUCUUUAACACGAUCUUCAAUAUAUUCACAUGCCUCUAGUUUGUUCAUUACCUGAUUGGUACAUCACCUAGCAUGGGAUUCACAUUCAUAUAUAUGAAUUCUUAUGUUUCCAGCAGUCACAAUUCACGCAUUCAUAUGCCUACUCAUAAGCAUUUAGCAUUCAUGUUCAGAGGUCGACAAUCAUAUUCAUAUAUAUGCGUCAAAUGAAACAAUGAUUUACUUUGGCAUGGAAGUGACCUAAUCACUUCGGUAAAGCACAACCCACC
rnacentral:lncRNA from 1 species